UACGUAGGGCGCAAGCGUUGUCCGGAAUUAUUGGGCGUAAAGCGCGCGCAGGCGGUCCUUUAAGUCUGAUGUGAAAGCCCACGGCUCAACCGUGGAGGGUCAUUGGAAACUGGGGGACUUGAGUGCAGGAGGAGAAGAGUGGAAUUCCACGUAGUAGCGGUGAAAUGCGUAGAGAAUGUGGAGGAACACCAGUGGCGAAGGCGACUCUUUGGCCUGAUA
rnacentral:rRNA from 1 species